CUAUAACUGGCUGUUGGUACUCAAUAUAUAAUAAAAACCGAUCAAAAUCUGUUUUAACAAUUGCAAAUUCCAGUGUAUUGAAAUAGGGAUUUGAAACAUAGAAAAAAAAAUUCUGUACACUUUAGCAAACAAUUGUUUUGAUAGCAAUCUGAUCUUGGAUUCUAUUUUAUCUACCGUAAUAACGGUAUAGAUAAAGGUAAUGGAGUGUUGUACAGUAUGAAAAAGUUUAGUAUUAAGUUUUCAACGUUAACUAUAGCUACUUCAAGGAACUAGGUCUUUCAAUGAAAAUUAUUAUUUAUUGAAAAGAUAUAAAGGGUUUUACGUUUUUCUUGUCUUCCAUUCAGCAAUUGAAUUUGAAUCAGUCUUAAAAAAAAUAAAGCUGCUUACAGUAGAUUUAAUAUAAGUAUGUCAACUACCAAAUAGUAAAGAACAGAUUUUUUAGCAUUAGUCUGAUUUAUAUAAAAAGAUAUAACAGUUAGUUUAGUUGAAAAAUGUUGGACAGACAUGUACUCAAAUAGGCUAGAACUGAGGUACAUUGUCCAAUGUGAUAACCAUUUAAUAAUGCUAUAUUAUAAAUGCUGUUUACCUGAAAUAGUCAUAUUUAAAUAUACAGCAUUGUACAGUAUCUGAAGUUCUGAACAUCAGUUUAUUAUUGCUUGAUUAUCAUAGUAGAACCAGUUAAUUGGCAACAUAUGUAUUUUAAAGUAGAAGAUCUCUGUACCAAAAACUGUAGAUUUUUGCAUACUUGAAGUUGAUUGUAUUUGAAUUACUCAGUAUAUUUGAAAGCUUUGAAGAGAUAGCUUUAUCUCAUGUGCCAUUUAACGUUUCCUUAGUAAGCUUUCUAAAUAUUGGCUUAGUUUUUAAGUGAUAUUGGUCCAUGUUGGAGCUUAGGAACAAAGAUUGAACUUGACUAUUUUUGAACGAAAAUGAAAAGUGUUUAAAAUUACAGUCAAACCUGUAUGUAAAGGUCAUCAUCUAAAAUAGAGAAAAAUGAAAAGUGUUUAGAAUUACAGUCAAACCUGUACGUAAAGGUCAUCAUCUAAAACACAGAAAACUGACCAUAUAAGAGAAGUGAUCUUGAAUUGAGGUACAAAAUGCAUAGGUAUUAUUGCAGUGGAACAGAGACAUGGUGAAUUGACAUGACAUAUAUUUGAUCCAAUUGUAAUACAGGAGACCUUUAAAGCAGGUUUGAUGCUACUUGAAAUUUUGAAAUGGUGCAUUGAAUAAUUAUGAAGUACUUCCAUAAUUUUGUUUGUCCAUAUAAAAAGAAAGAAUGACUUGUUCCCCUGUUAAGUAAAGUAAAAGUUUCCAUGUUUUGAACCAUUUUACGAGUUCAGGAAAAGGCAUUGUAACUUAUAUAUUUAUCACUGCUUACAUAUUAUAACAACUUUUGUAAAUUUAGAAAUACGCCAUGUUCAAAUUUAUGUUGUAUGUAACAGUGAAAGGGCUGAAUUAGAGGUGUUUGAGACACAAUAAAUUGUGCUUUAAUAGUGGGUUGUAUUAAACCAUCUACAUGUCUUUCAAUAUUGUAUUAUGAUUCUUGUAAUAAAAUCUGUCUAUUGGUUGUCUUUUUAACAAUUAGGUGUAAUUAUAUGUAUUCCAUGCUGUUGAUAUUUGUAAUAUAUACAUAUAUUUAUUACUAGUAAUGUCUUGUGGUAUAAUUUAUAGUGCUAAAGUUGUAUAUUCCCUCCAAGAGUGGACACAUUUUUUUUUUGUUGACUCUUUAUGUGAUUUAGAUAUUACCAAUUUUCUAAACUGAAAAAUAUGUUUGUCUGGUCAAGUUUUUGUAUCAUAUUAGCUGCAUCAAAUAAAAAUCAACCUUAUGCAAGUGCAGGUAUACAAGUACAUAUAUUUAUAGAUUAUAUUAUGCCCUUUCCAUAUAUGCCCUGGUAUUAUCCCAAGACUCCUAUAUCAACCAAGGGCUGAGGGAUGAUACCAGGGCCAAUUUGGAAAAGACAUGUUAUAAUCUAUUUAUAAAUCACAUAUUUCAGAUUUACAGAAAAGAGAAAACAAGUUGAAGUAUAAUUAUUUAAUUAUAUACAAAAGUAAAACCAUAAAAAUCUUCAAAAAAUGUUAAGUUCUUCAAUUGAAUUAUCCUCUGGAUACAAAAAUUACGUAUCAUAUGCAGAAACCCAUUUUGUUCUUAACAAAUAUGUGAUAAAAGACUUUGAUUGAUUUUGGAACAUUUAAAUACAGCAUAACCAUGAUAACAGAUGAAUUAUGGUCUGUUUAGUAUGAUACUUAUACAUGUAUCACCUCAAUUUUCAAACUCUAACAGACAUUUCACAGAGAUUUUUUCAACCCAAAAUAGGUUAACAGAUGUACUGAUAUUCAUUUGCACAAGGUCGAUUUCUAUCGGAAUGCAGCUCAUACAUAAUUCGAGGUUACUAAAUGUUAACAUGGUUUCAAAAGGUUCUAAAUUUCAAACAUAAAUAUCUUUCUCUGAAAGUAAACAACAUUGUUUUACAUGGCUGAAAUAUAAUAACAAAUUGCAUAAAAGUCAUUGUUGUUUUUAUGUCUACAAGAAUGCAUCCCAACAACAGUACACAAAUAGGUUAAAAUGAGCCAUUGUCCUAAUAUAUUAAAUAAAGCACAGCAGAAAUAUUUAUAGCUCUAGACUAUAGUAUAAGCAGUUGGUUGUCAUUUUUCAUAUUUUUCUAUUAUGAGGGAAAGCAAAGUGAGUUUGUUCAUUUGCCUUUUUUUUACGAGAUAUUACGUUUUUAAUACUUAAAUAGUUCAUUAACUUGUAUCCUAGAGAAAAUAUUCUUACAAAAUUCAUUGAAAAAGGUCAUAUUUUUAAAUAAUUUAUUUAUAUUUAAAGCUUUUGCAUGGGUAAUGUGUUUUGGGCAGCUGUUUAAAUUCAGUGUUGUGUAUAUACUCAAAAAGAUCCAUUGCAGGAUGUUUCAUGCCUUCUUUUCCCAUGUUAUUAGUCUUUGUUGGUAUAGCAGAGGUCAAAAUUGUCAAUGACAUGAUAAUAGCCUCAAUUGUAGACCGGUAAAUGCUUCAAAAAAUAAAGAUGUCAUAUAAUGGUAAAGGUUGUUUAUAAAACAUUUCAUUAGCUUUUUCAGCGCUUCACUGCCAUUUAUUUUCAAACAUACAUUAAAACUCCCAAUUCUUACAAGUAAAACAAUUAUCAGUUGAUGGCAUUAUUAUUUACAAAUUGUAAUAGCAUACCUCUUUUUUUAUAGUAAAUUUGCUUACGGUAUGCAUUAAAUUGUUACGCAUGAACAUUUCCAAUGGUUACCACAUUUUGUCCUGGUUUUUAAAUAACAUUUUUGAUUAUUUUAUUUCAAAUAUUUGUGGAAGCUUCCAUUAUCCUUUUGUUUAUCUGUCUCGUAUCCAUGCUCCAAUGUCCAACAUUCAAAUCAUUGCUCAUUGUUGUCAAUUCUUUUAAUCAUUUAAAACUUAGUUGAAUGUACAGACGGUCCCUUUUGAAAGUUCCUAUUUCGUUUUCGAACUGAUAGAAAACAUGGCUGUCAGAGACAAUGCUUGAUUUUGAUUGGUUACUUUUCAACAUUCUUCUUAGAAGCUACAAGGCCAUAUCUUUCCAGUCAUUGAGGAAUAACAAUUAGGAGAUCAUUAACACAGAUUUCUGAAGUGUUGAUUGGUUGAUAUUAUGAAGUGUUGAUUGGUUGAUAUUAUGAUGUGCUGAUUGAAUGAUAUAAUGAGAUGGCAGCACAUAAGUUAUUUUAGUCAUAUUUUCAUAAUCUCCUCUAGAGUUACUAUUAAGCUAAUGGAAUUGAAAUUUCAAAGGGAAAAGCCAUUUGUGAAUGUGUUGCUUUAUCUCUGAAAAGGUUUGAGAUCACCUAAAUUAGUUGACCUCUACAUUAUGUUAACUUUAACUUAGAUGACCUCUACUGGUUGGGAAAUGAAAUAUAAAAAGAAACAAAUCAUAAUACAUUUGUUGUUGUAUUUUGCUUGAUCUCCAGUAGCAAAUAUGUCAUCCUUAUCCAUGAUGAGUCGUUGCAGGGAUGAUUUAAUUUUAAAAUUAUGCUACAAUUUAUGCCAGUACCAAUGCUCCAUAAUGCAUAUAUCUAAUACAUUCAGAUUUUGAUAUACCUCAUUUGUAGAAUUAGGUUGUUAUGAUUUAAACUAGGUUUAGUAAUACAAUAAACUGGUUGUAAAUUUAUUUAGAAAGUAAUUUAUGCUUCCGAUUGAGUUAUUGCCUUUGACUGUUACAUUCAUAAUUUAUGCAG
rnacentral:lncRNA from 1 species